AACGCGAAGAACCUUACCUGCCCUUGACAUCUACGGAAUCUGACAGAGAUGUUGGAGUGCCGCAAGGAACCGUAAGACAGGUGCUGCAUGGCUGUCGUCAGCUCGUGUUGUGAGAUGUUGGGUUAAGUCCCGUAACGAGCGCAACCCCUGUUCACAGUUGCCAGCGCGUAAUGGCGGGGACUCUGUGGAGACUGCCGGUGAUGAACCGGAGGAAGGCGGGGACGACGUCAAGUCAUCAUGGCCUUUAUGGGCAGGGCUACACACGUGCUACAAUGGGGCGUACAGAGGGAAGCCAACCCGCGAGGGGGAGCCGAUCCCGGAAAGCGCCUCUUAGUCCGGACUGGAGUCUGCAACUCGACUCCACGAAGUCGGAAUCGCUAGUAAUCGCGAAUCAGAAUGUCGCGGUGAAUACGUUCCCGGGCCUUGUACACACCGAGUAUA
rnacentral:rRNA from 1 species